rnacentral:rRNA from 1 species
AUUGAACGCUGGCGGCAUGCCUUACACAUGCAAGUCGAACGGUAACAGGUCUUCGGAUGCUGGCGAGUGGCGAACGGGUGAGUAAUACAUCGGAACGUGCCCAGACGUGGGGGAUAACGAGGCGAAAGCUUUGCUAAUACCGCAUACGAUCUAAGGAUGAAAGCAGGGGACCGCAAGGCCUUGCGCGUUUGGAGCGGCCGAUGGCAGAUUAGGUAGUUGGUGGGAUAAAAGCUUACCAAGCCGACGAUCUGUAGCUGGUCUGAGAGGACGACCAGCCACACUGGGACUGAGACACGGCCCAGACUCCUACGGGAGGCAGCAGUGGGGAAUUUUGGACAAAGGGCGAAAGCCUGAUCCAGCAAUGCCGCGUGCAGGAUGAAGGCCUUCGGGUUGUAAACUGCUUUUGUACGGAACGAAAAGGCUCUGGCUAAUACCUGGGGCACAUGACGGUACCGUAAGAAUAAGCACCGGCUAACUACGUG